rnacentral:rRNA from 1 species
UGGGGAAUCUUGCACAAUGGGCGAAAGCCUGAUGCAGCGACGCCGCGUGGGGGACGACGGCCCUCGGGUUGUAAACCCCUUUCGGCAGGGAAGAAGCGAAAGUGACGGUACCUGCAGAAGAAGUCCCGGCUAACUACGUGCCAGCAGCCGCGGUAAGACGUAGGGGACGAGCGUUGUCCGGAUUCAUUGGGCGUAAAGCGCGCGUAGGCGGUUCGGUAAGUCGGGUGUGAAAACACGAGGCUCAACCUCGUGCGUGCAUCCGAUACUGCCGGACUAGAGGUAGGUAGGGGAGAUCGGAAUUCCUGGUGUAGCGGUGAAAUGCGCAGAUAUCAGGAGGAACACCGGUGGCGAAGGCGGAUCUCUGGGCCUUACCUGACGCUCAGGCGCGAAAGCUAGGGGAGCGAACAG